UCAUUUCAGGAAAUCACUCCUCAGAAAUAUGUCAUCCUCAUUCAUGCAUUCAAUUUGCAGCCCUUGAAUUAAAUUGCUUAAUUUUUCUUCUCCUUUUCACUAGGCUUAUUUAGUUCGUUUUAUCACAAGUUGUGUGCGAAACCAGUCAAGCAUGACAGAAGCUUUUGUGAAUGCCUCUGCUGUUUUGAGUGCUGUGAAAGACACUAAUCAGCAAGAUAAAAAUGAAGAUGGAAUUCUCCCUUUCUUAACCAGUUACUUGAAGAAAAUUGAUGAAGAAACAUGCAGCUCUAUCUUAUGUCUAGAAACGGUUAGAUUACUCCAAGAGCUGUGGAAAAGUCACCGAUCCUUACCAGUUCACUAUUUAAAGAAGCAAAAAGGAUUCUGGUUCUUUUUGUUUAAGCCAUUGUUUUUUAAACCAAAGAUGAAACUGAAGCCACUAUAUGCCACCAUAAUGAACAUUUUGAGUCAGGAACUUUUUAUUGGCUCAAAAGACAAUGUUGAUGAAGAGCUAUCACGGUUUUUGAAAUCCUUCUUUCAAGAUGAUUCAACAAUAACUGCCUGGAAUGAGUUCUGCUUGGGACUUAUUGGUGAGGACUCAGAGGACCCAUUACAAGUCAAAGUCAAAAUGGACCUAGUCAAAGAGUGGCGCAAUUUGCUGGCAUGUAUCUCUGGAUCCCACCCAAACUUUAUCAAUGAUUCAGUCUGGCCAAAGGUGGCUCUUUCCUUCUUGGAGUCUCUCUCACAGUACAACAUACAAACAGACACGGUUGAAGUGCGCUACAUUGUUGAAGCAUACUUGUUACUCAUGAAAAAUCUUAAAAAGAACUCAUUAAUUCAGUUUGAAUCCGGUUUGAAAGAGUUUGCAAAAAUCUUCCCAAUGGUGGUCAUGCAGUUUUAUUAUACUAAAAUAGAAACUCGCGCUAUACUUCUGGUUUUAUCAAAUCAAGUGAUCAAAAGUAGUUCAAUGCAGAAGUCUCUCACAAAAGAAGAGGAAGAAUGCUUAGAAAUGAUCCUGAAAAAUGUGUUCCUUUUACUUUCAAAGCAACUUCAUGAAGUAGAGUGCAAAAGCCUGGCCCCUGAGGAGGACAUAAUAUUUCUUUUACUUCUAUCUCAUGCUCUCAGCAUUGAGAAUUCUCAGUUGCCAAACUGCCAGUCUCAUUGGCAGUCUUUGGUGGAGAAAUAUGAUUUGUUCAAUAGACUAGUCUCUCUUUUGAAACUCCUAUUAAAGACCAAGAAGAAAAUCAAAACCAUUGGAUUGAUGGUUGGAUUUUUGAUAAAAACAGCAGAGCUCUCUAACAUCAAUCUUGUGUUGGAUGUUGAACACUUUACAGUCAGCCUUUGGGACUGCAUCAUGCCAGAUGAUUCUGUGAUUUCUGAUAAACUGAUUGCAGAAGCUACUGAUGUUCAUUCGUCCCUAUUCAAAGGUCAUUUUUGGAAUGCAAACUACAGUCAAAUUCUAAGCUUAGUAGCAGUUUUGCUCGAGAAAGGUGACUACAAAGUCAAAUCAUCACUGCUCAAUGAUUUGAUCAUCUUUCAAGUGCCAUACAUCAUUGAAGCUCAAAAGUUGGUUAAAUGUUCCAUUUUUGAAAAUGAUCUUCUCCUAGUCUCACGAAUAUUUAUUCUGCUGAGAGAAAUAGCUCUAGUGCGAGAUAUUUGGCCAAAGAGUCUAUGUGAAGGGCUGACCAAAUGUUUUAUCCAAAUGAGGCAGUCUUUCUCCAGUAUUGUAGAAAUUUUAGUGUCUCCAGAAGCGCUUCUUUCUUUGGUGACUGGAGACUACUAUAGUGUUGACCGAUUCAUUGGCUUCUGUCAGACAAUGCAAAUGCUUGAGAAAACUCUGCCGGAAGAAAUUGAUACUAGCCUUAAAUCAACGCAAGCCAGGCUCUUAUCGCUGUUGCUUUAUUGUACAGCAACUUUGAAUCUUUUCGGAACAGAAACAAUCGAACUAAUUGAUUGUCUUCAAACAAAUAUACCUGUUACUGAAGCACAUCAGCUAUAUCCAAACUGUCCAGUUACAGUGCCUCCCUAUAAUGAUCUCUUGAUGUUUGAGGACUUCCACUCAGUGUACCAUGCAUUAUCGGCUAUCUCAGCUGGAUACUCUAAGCGUUUGAAAAUCAAUGUUCACUUCAUGUCCUCGAGUUUGCUGCCAUGUGAAACAAGUUUUCUGCCAGACAUCUCUAACUCUGAUGUGACAACUCUUCAACUUCUUGUAGAGAUGCUAGUCAGUCUGAUAAUCAAAAUUGUCCUUCUUGUCUCUUUGGAUCCAGCCAUCGACAAGAAAAACACACAACAUUUUAUUCGUGAGCUUAAUUGUGAAGUGGCUGGAUUCAUCGAUUUUGCCACUCGUUACAAUUGGGAUGAAAGUCUUAAAAACAAAUGCUCAGUCUUCGAGGAGUACUUUUUUACAGAAACCAGUGAAGCUUCUACCGAAAAUGCAGCGAUUCUUCAAGCCAAACAAAUAUGUCUAGAUUCUUUACGCAGGCACGGAAGUAUGAGCAGAACAAUCCUAGCCUGGAAAUCCGCAGAAAAAAAGCAACCAGAAGCCCCAGUUACGAUCGCCAGGCUCUUCAACAAAAUUUAGUGAGCCUAGACAAACAAGUCCAAUUCUCAGAUUCUUACACGAUCAGUAGCGUCAAAAGUAUCUGAAGAACCAUCAACCAGUAAAGGAGUGCAUCUAGUUGAAGAGAGCACUGAGAUGGAGGAAGAUCAGGUUGAAAAAAUUGAAACGGUAGAUUCUCGCAGAAAAUCUAUCAAGCGGGAUGAGCAGUCUGAUGCAGCAGAACAUUUCCUAGCAGUUUCAAAAGCUUUUUUCCGUAGUGCAAAAUCGCAAAACAUUAGUUACUUGAUGUGGCCAUUAAAUGUUUAGAGAUUAUUUUCCUGAAUGGUGAAAGUCUGUUUGACCCUAAGCGAAAGGAGAUAUCGCCACCUCAUAACUUAUCACGUUCAGAUAGUGACGAAUCUUUGAAUGAAUCAUACGGUAGCGUUACACCUUUCAGUAAACCAAUUCAGAGGCUGCUAGAUGAAAGGGGAAACACGUGGACAAGGCAUCUCAUUUUGAUAGCACCAACCAGAGUUCAAUCAGGGAUACAACUGGUAGGGCGUACAAAUAUGUUUAUGAUCUAGAAAGGAGAGGCAUUGAUUCUUUCCAAAGUCCUGGAACUCAUUUAGAUAAAGGAACCAAUCCGAUGAGUUCAGUGGCUAGUGAAUCAGGUCUUUUUAGUUCAAAAUAUCAUUCAAGUUCAAUGUAAAUAAAAUUUAUCUGAAAGAAUGUCGGGGAAUUGUCUGUGGAAGUUGUCAAGCUAUCCUGUUAGAGUAAUUUUCUUCUGCUUCUCUUCAUUGUCAAUAAUAAACGAAGAAUAUGGUUGAAGUAAAGGAGAUGAAUGUGUUUUUGUAUGAAAUUCUUAACAGAAAGAAGUGACCAAAUUUUUCAGAUAUUAUUAAAUAAUUUACAUUUCAAGAUGACAUGUUAACUGCCAUCUUCUUAUUCGCUUGUGUCCUCUAAAGUGUUACAAAUGUACCCAUUAUUUUGACUGGCGCUAUCCUUUGUAUAUGAAAUUCCUUAAACUGUCCUCCAAAACUUUGUUGUACAGCUGAUUGCCUGACGCUCCUUCCAUCAGGGCUUGUGCGGUAAACAACGCCUUAGGGAUCGAGUGGCACCAAACAAAUAUGAAAAAUCAGCAUCAAUUGAAUCAGCUUUGACAAGUAUAAUAAUCUGCAAAGAGAUCAAUGUGUUAUUUGUGACACAAGGUCAAUAUGGAAAAGGCUAUGUCUGCUGCACUCAAUAAUUUUACCGAAAGCUCUAGCCAUAAGUUUGUUUUUAAACUUGUAAGUUUAAUUCCCCAAAAUUUCAUCAGUGUGAUUCGAUCCUCUCUUGAUAAAUUUGAUUUGGUUGAUGCAUGAGAUUUCAAAACAUGUAAGAUAAAAAAUAACAUUAGAAUCCACUAUAUGCACAUUUCAUUAAGUUCCUCUGUAAAAUUCAAAAAUUUUGGAAUGAUCUUCGCUCUUUGAUUAAAAAUGUAUAAUUUUAUUUUUUAAUUUGAAGUCUAUAUUUGGCAUUUGAAUUCAAACACUGUGCUUUUUGAUCAGUGAGGAGAGUACUUGUUACAUAAUUGGUUAGAAUUUUGUCAUCUUGAUUAUUUUUUAUUUUUUAAUGUACUUUUUACCGUAUUUUUUACUGAAUUGUUCCAAGUGAAAGAAAAAUUCCUCAUUUUUACAAGAAAGUAGAAAGCAUAGGAAACAAACCUUUGUUUUGGAUGGUAAUAUGGGUAAAACAGUUACUUUUUUCUCUCAAGCCUUUUGCACGCCUUCUCAUCUUUAUAUUGUAACUAAGUCAAUCCUCACUCGCCUGAACACAUGAAAAAGCAUUACGGCGGUGAAACUACCAGAUAAUGUAUCUCGUUUGUAGUGUUUAGAAAUAUCCGCCCCAUUCCAUUUUGAAGGAGAACAAAUCAAUAUCAUUCCAUCAAACUUUCACUGAGUUUUCUCCGUACAUAGAAAGAAAAAUCAUGGAAUUUUCAAGAAUGGAUGUUGAGUAAUUUUCCAUUCAAAAAAUGAAGUAUGACAGGAAGUCUGCAAUUUCGCCAAACCAAGAUACAUCAUCUGGUAGUUUCACCAUCGAUAAUUGAAAUAAUUCCCAUUCGCUUUUGUUAACCAAGGCUCUUGUUUAGUAUUUAGAUAGGAGUCACUCCAAUUUCUAUCAUUGUUUUGAAUUUAAGACGUUUACCUUGAACUUUUUGUCAAUAUCCCAAGUCUUUCUAUUAGCUCUUAGCUUGUUGUAACAAAGAGAAAAUAAGAGCCCGCAUUGAAUUUGAAAAAAGCAUGUGGGUUCUAAUUCCCCAUGUUUCCUCCAUAAGGAAUUCAAAGUGGUCAUCAGGUGUCUGAUUGGCUGAAAAGCAAGCGCGGGAAGCUCAGGUCAGGAUCAGGCAACUGCGCUUUUUUCCCAUUCCAUGUGGGCUCUUAUUUUCUCUUUGGUUGUAAAUAAGUUUCUUCACCCGGGAAACCGUUCUUCCUCAGUUCAUUGAAAUAAAUAGAUUAUAAGUUUUUAAAAACCUUUGUAAAUUGAAUCAUUUUAACCAUAAUUAAUGAAGCAGAAGUAGCUGCAAAGCAGAAAGCAGCUUCAUAGUAAGUGAGCUUUAAAAGAAGUCACUCUAUAGAAGGCUUAUAGUUCACCCUUUCUUGAAUUUGAUCAAAAUUGCAGUUGAUAUUUUUUUACUGUAGCAUAAUUUUGUUAUGUCCUCGUUCUUUUUAAAAAAAAAAAUUAAUUAUAAAUUUUUUGAAUUUUGUCCAUUUAAUGAAUAUUUCUCCGUGCAAGCAUCUGUAGGAUUUUUUUUUUUUUUUUUUUUAAUUUAUAUCAUUAAUCAAGCUAUUUCUUUUUUUAUUACUCAUUGCAAAACUUUUUAUAACCCAAAUUAAUCAAAUCCAUCGAAUCAUGAGUAUUGAAAUACCAAACACUGAAAAGAAUCAUGACUGUUUAACAAAGAGAAGAGUUUUUUUGGAUGUAGACUUCUCUGACAUUUCUGUUGACUUUAACUGUCAGCAUUUUUUUUUUAUUUCUGACGAAUGGAACCGGUUUUUCACGAAGCUUUGGCAGUCAUAGGUAGCGUUUCCAAAUAUUAUGUCCUUAGAAGCCUUGGUUCAAUAACAGCCUACACAAACCUUCACUUGUUGUGUAGGGUUUCCAAUUAAUUGUUAAAAUAUUAUCAGCUAAUUAAGUCACUUCAUUCCGGUCAAAUGAAAAUACAGAUCGAUUUCACCAUCGACGUUCUCUCAUUUUUUCAAAAUUCCCCGCCAGAAAUUAUGAAGUUUUGGG
rnacentral:lncRNA from 1 species